rnacentral:rRNA from 1 species
GAGUUUGAUCCUGGCUCAGAAUCAACGCUGGCGGCGUGCCUCAUACAUGCAAGUCGAACGAUUAAACUUCUCUUCGGAGAACAUAUAAAGUGGCGUACGGGUGAGUAACACGUAAGUAAUCUACCUUCGAGUGGGGAAUAACCCGGGGAAACCCGAGCUAAUACCGCAUAAUGCAGCGGCAUCUUCGGAUGACAGUUGUUAAAGAAUUUAUUCGCUUGAAGAGGAGCUUGCGGCAGAUUAGCUAGUUGGUAAGGUAAUGGCUUACCAAGGCGACGAUCUGUAUCCGGUCUAAGAGGACGGUCGGACACACUGACACUGAAUAACGGGUCAGACUCCUACGGGAGGCAGCAGUCGGGAAUUUUGGGCAAUGGGCGCAAGCCUGACCCAGCAACGCCGCGUGAAGGAUGAAGUCUUUCGGGAUGUAAACUUCGUAAGAAUAGGAAGAAUAAAUGACGGUACUAUUUGUAAGGUCCGGCUAACUACGUGCCAGCAGCCGCGGUAAUACGUAGGGACCAAGCGUUGUUCGGAUUUACUGGGCGUAAAGGGCGCGUAGGCGGCGUGUUAAGUCAGCUGUGAAAUCUCCAAGCCUAACUUGGAACGGUCAGCUGAUACUGAUGUGCUAGAGUGCAGAAGGGGCAAUCGGAAUUCUUGGUGUAGCGGUGAAAUGCGUAGAUAUCAAGAGGAACACCUGAGGUGAAGACGGGUUGCUGGGCUGACACUGACGCUGAUGGGCGAAAGCUAGGGUAGCAAACGGGAUUAGAUACCC